UUUAAUGCUACCCCGUUGUCAUAUUUGCAGGAAAAUAGGUAAGUAGUAAGUAUUAGUACUUUUUAUUGACGUUGAUACUUGAGUUUUUUAAGCCUUUGUGAUUGUUUGUCAAUAUUAAAGUAAAGUCGCUAUCUGCUUUCUGCACAAAACUGUCGAAUUUGCAGCUUCGGUGAAGUCUGCUGUCAAGUUACUGGACACGUGGUAUUUGCACAACACUUCUGAAUCCGCAGCUUCGGUGUUUUAAGGCUGUUUCGGUAAUGUCGUUAUUUAAUAAGUUAAAUUAUUUGCAUUGUUAACUGCACAUAUUGAAGCUCAGAAGAAAAUGUUUACUUACAUUCGUAGAUAUGGAGAAGAUGGGAAUUUAUUUCUGCGGGCUCCUACCCUUCAGGAUAUGACAAGGCUCAGAGGCAAAACCUCAGAAGAUAUGCCUCAAAAUUCCAACAAAAGGAUGGAGAACUCUUUGUUGGAACCAGAAGAGUAGUAAAAACCAUGGAUGAUGCCAGGAAGCUAUUUCAUGAGUUUCAUUCAUCUCCAAUUGGAGGACACACUGGCACACACAAAACGCUAAAUGCAGUGUGUUCCAGAUUUUACUGGUUUGGUAUGAUAGUUGACAUUAAAACAUGGAUUCUGGAAUGUGACCAGUGUCAAAAAGUUCGGAAACCACUGACUGCUGUGCAACCGUUGCAGUGUAUUCAGGUGUCUGAAGUGUGGGAACUUAUUGGUAUAGAUCUUACUGGACCUCUUCCUAAAAUGUCAAGCGGCUUCCAGUAUAUACUUACUGCAACUGACUACUUUUCAAAAUGGGUUGAAGCUUUCCCAUUAAAAACGAAAUCUGCAUCUGAGGUAGCCAAUGAGAUGAAAAGACCAAUGACAACAUAAAAAGAGCCCUCCGAAAACUGGUGAAUGACCAGCAGAAUAACUGGGAUCUGUAUCUAGAUCCCACCCUGUUUUCACUGCGGUCAAAAGUACACACCACAACAAAAUAAUCACCUUUUUUUCUGAUGUAUGGAAGAGAGGCAGUAUUUCCAUCAGAAGUGCCUGCUCAAGUGCCGGUGAGUGUUUGUCAAAUUCUUUCUAUGUUAGAACUAAGAAUUGAAACCAUUUAAGUAAAAAACCCAGUAAUGUCUUUAUGAAUAUGAUAUCAUUUGGUUUUAAUUGCUAAUAUCUACAAAAUUUUAGAUUUCCAACAUCAUUCUGCCAGACGACAAAAGGUACAGUGACUAUGUACAGUCUGAAAGUGAAGCACAACAUGCAGUUAAAGAAACUGCACAAGAAAACAUUGCGAAGUCACAAGACAAGCAAAAGGUUGCAUACGCCAAGCGGGUCCUGAAAAAGUACAAAAAUGUUGUGUACAAUGUAGGGGAUCAAAUUCUGCUUCUAAAUAUGAGGAAACAUGGGCGAAAAGGAGG